UCGUUUGGCUGGCAAAGCGCUCGUUACCCUGACUUUUCUCUCUACUGGGCCCUCCCAUUGCUAUUGCCAUAAGCUAUCGCAACAACAGGCCCCAAAAAAGGAAACAGAGUUCGAUUCAUAUAAUGAAACAAUCAACUGGAUGUCAACAUAAAGGACAUUGGCCUUUUUCGAUUUUUAUAGAUUUUCAUGCUUUUACAACAAAACAAUGAAGACAUGGAAUUUAUUAAAAGGAAAAUAUGAUA
rnacentral:lncRNA from 1 species